rnacentral:rRNA from 1 species
CCUACGUGGUGCAGCAGUGAGGAAUAUUGGUCAAUGGGCGCGAGCCUGAACCAGCCAAGUAGCGUGAAGGAUGACUGCCCUACGGGUUGUAAACUUCUUUUAUAAAGGAAUAAAGUGAGGCACGUGUGCCUUUUUGUAUGUACUUUAUGAAUAAGGAUCUGCUAACUCCGUGCCAGCAGCCGCGGUAAUACGGAGGAUCCGAGCGUUAUCCGGAUUUAUUGGGUUUAAAGGGAGCGUAGAUGGGUUGUUAAGUCAGUUGUGAAAGUUUGCGGCUCAACCGUAAAAUUGCAAUUGAUACUGGCAGUCUUGAGUACAGUUGAGGUAGGCGGAAUUCGUGGUGUAGCGGUGAAAUGCUUAGAUAUCACGAAGAACUCCGAUUGCGAAGGCAGCUUACUAAACUGCCACUGACAUUGAUGCUCGAAAGUGUGGGUAUCAAACAGGAUUAGAUACCCCUGUAGUC